AAAGAUAGCACGUAAAAUGCUGAGAUGGAAAAUUUCCUUUAAAUACCCAUCAGAAUGAGAGGAAUUACCCCCCACGACCAGCACCCAAAGCUGGCAUUCUACUAAAUUACACUCUGUUAGUUUUACCUGUGAACUCACCCCCACUAAAACACAAGGAUUUGGUCCCAGUCCUUAAACCAAUUACCACUUAACUUACACAUGCAAGUCUCAGCACACCUGUGAAAACGCCCCCACCCAAAAGUGGGGAGCCGGUAUCAGGCACAACAAUUGCCCAAGACACCUAGCCCCGCCACACCCACAAGGGCAUGCAGCAGUAAUUAACAUUAAGCAUAAACGCCAGUUUGACUUAAUUAAAGUACUCAGAGCCGGCCAACCCGGUGCCAGCCGCCGCGGAUACACCGUUGGACUCAAAUUGGUAUACCUCGGCGUAAAGCGUGGUUUAAGCUACACACCACUAAGAUUAAACUCAAGCUCAACUGUCUAAAGUCUUGCUUCCAGGAAACCCACAAACGAAAGUUAUCUUAUCCGCCACUUCUUGAACCCACGACAACUAGGACCACAAACUGGGAUUAGAUACCCCACUAUGCCUGGUCGUAAACUUUACUUACACCCCCCACCCGCCAGGGAACUACGAGCCAAAGCUUAAAACUCAAGGGACUUGACGGCACCCCAACCCCCUAGAGGAGCCCGUCCUAUAAUCGAUGAUCCACGAUUGACCUCCCCACUUUUUGCUUUUCAGCCUGUAUACUUCCGUCUUAAGCCCACCCCGUGAGGGUUCACCAGUGGGCCCAAUGUCCACAACAAUACGUCAGGUCAAAGUGCAGCUCAUAAAGUGGAAAGAGAUUGGCUACACUUUCUAAACUAGAAAAUACGAAAACCACGCUGAAAUUCGUGCUUGAAGGUGGAUUUAGCAGUAAAAAGAGAACACGAGAGCUCUCUUUAACACGGCAAAGGGGUGUGUACACACCGCCCGUCACCCUCUUCAAAGCACAAAUAUUAGUACCUAACAACUACUGCAUCAAAGAAGAGGCAAGUCGUAACAAGGUAAGUAUACCGGAAGGUGUGCUUGGCA
rnacentral:ncRNA from 1 species